rnacentral:rRNA from 1 species
UACGUAGGGUGCAAGCGUUGUCCGGAAUUAUUGGGCGUAAAGAGCUCGUAGGCGGUUUGUCGCGUCUGCUGUGAAAACUCGGGGCUUAACCCCGGGCCUGCAGUGGGUACGGGCAGACUAGAGUGCGGUAGGGGAGACUGGAAUUCCUGGUGUAGCGGUGGAAUGCGCAGAUAUCAGGAGGAACACCGGUGGCGAAGGCGGUUCUCUGGGCCUUACCUGACGCUGAGGAGCGAAAGCGUGGGGAGCGAACAGG